GUGCUCACUUCACCAGCACACGUACUAAAAUUGAAAUGGUACAGAGAAGAUCAGCACGGCCUCUGUGCAGGGGUGACACGCAAUUCGUGAAGCGUUCCAUAUUUUU
ensembl:snRNA U6 U6 spliceosomal RNA